GGGGACGUUACGGAUUCGACAGGGGUGGUCUAAGCGUGAGCUGCGCGUCGGAGGCUCGACUCCGUCAGAAACGGACCUUAAUAAUAACAGGCAAAACAAACAACAACCUAGCAUUCGCAGCGUAAGCUGUUGAAUCUGCCUUGCAAUACCAUCGCCCAUGUGGCGUUGUAGGGCUAACCUAAAGUGGGAUACGCUGGAUGCUGCUUUUCGAGGCUCCCCAGAAGAGAUUUCCGAAAUAGCGCUCAGGACGCCCUGUCUUCCGGCAUAAUGUAGCGCGAAACCAAAUAGGAAAACUACACGCGUAGACGUUUACGUAUUAGAGCCUCUGGACGUGGGUUCGACUCCCACCGUCUCCA
rnacentral:tmRNA from 1 species